rnacentral:siRNA from 1 species
UACUGGUUUCAGCGAUUAGUC